GCUCGACAGAGGAGUACCGAUGCAACGCUCGCCAUAGGGAAUUGGGAAGGUACAGAGUUGGGCUCCCCUGAUCACUAUAUUUAUUGGGAAGCUUGGUACAAGACAAUCUUAGUUUGGGCUAUGAUGCAACAAUAGGUUCAAGCUGAGUGAACAGUAUUUGUGAUCCAAGUGACUGGUUUUAGCUUGUCAACUUGACAUAUUACACAGCGUCGACGAUGCUCUAGGACUAACAAAAAAACACUUUUGCGUUGCACAAGGUUUUGAUUGCCAAAGCUGGACUUGACUGAGCAGAUACAUUGACGAUGUUCAUCAAGGGGUUGUUGGAUAUCUUGACCGGUCUGCAGUACUUGGAAGAAAACUUCCUAGGUAACGUUCAGGAGAUAAAUGAUUUUAAUGUUACAUAGCACACUCCUCUCUGCAUGUUCCAUGCCAAGUGGAGCA